rnacentral:rRNA from 1 species
GUCGUAACAAGGUUUCCGUAGGUGAACCUGCGGAAGGAUCAUUACCGAUAGACCGUCGUGAAACCACUGUGAAUGGUAUUGGACCGUGCGGGGUGGCCAAUGAGUCAGAGGUAGCCGCCUUAAAUGCAGUCUCAGCGAUGAGCUGCGGCCCCGCACGAGUCGACUGGUUGUUUCCACAGACUUUUGCGGGCUGUAUUCGAAUUGGAAAAUGAAAAAUUGAAAAAGCAGAACUGAAGUACCUUAUAGUUUCCGUUGGGUGUCUCAUAGAGCACAAACGAAAGAUGGUUUAAACGAACAACUUCUAACGGUGGAUCUCUUGGCUCGUGCAUCGAUGACGAACGUAGCCAGUUGCGAUAAGUAAUGUGAAUUGCAGAAUUCAGUGAAUCAUCGAAUCUUUGAACGCAAAUUGCGCUCUCUGGAUCCCCAGGGAGCAUGUCUGUCUGAGUGUCGCGAACGAAAAACUGACACACUUCGGUGUGAGAGUGGGUGCUCGGGUUAGGGCUCGAUGCUCAAGACCCGUCACUCUAAGUGCAUGGUUGGACCGGAUCGCAGCCUAAACGAGAAAUUUUAGCGUAUUAAAAAUCCCGUCUGGAAGGCUCUGAGUUAUAUGUGCAUGUUUACUUGAACGGAGUUUCUGUUAACCUGGGGCGGCAACCUGACCUUCUCAGACAUCAAGGGAUAAGAAAAAGGCUCGGUCGGUGGCGAAGUUAUUAAGCGAGAGGUGUCAUAUCAAUGUGUUAUAUAUGCCUGUGUUGCGAAUUUGACCUCAGAUCAGGCAAGACUACCCGCUGAAUUUAAGCAUA